rnacentral:rRNA from 1 species
GUGGGGAAUUUUGCGCAAUGGGGGAAACCCUGACGCAGCAACGCCGCGUGGACGAUGAAGGCCUUUGGGUCGUAAAGUCCUGUCAGCAGGGAAAAACAAAAUGAUGGUACCUGCAGAGGAAGCUCCGGCUAACUUCGUGCCAGCAGCCGCGGUAAUACGAGGGGAGCAAGCGUUGUUCGGAAUCAUUGGGCGUAAAGGGCGCGUAGGCGGCAGUACAAGUCUGGGGUGAAAGCCCUCGGCUCAACCGAGGAAUUGCCUUGGAUACUGUACGGCUUGAGUAUUGGAGAGGAAAGCGGAAUUCCCAGUGUAGCGGUGAAAUGCGUAGAUAUUGGGAGGAACACCGGUGGCGAAGGCGGCUUUCUGGACAAUCACUGACGCUGAGGCGCGAAAGCCAGGGGAGCAAACGGGAUUAGAUACCCGGGUAGUCC